rnacentral:rRNA from 1 species
CCUACGGGAGGCAGCAGUGGGGAAUAUUGCACAAUGGGGGAAACCCUGAUGCAGCGACUCCGCGUGAGUGAAGAAGUAAUUCGUUAUGUAAAGCUCUAUCAGCAGGGAAGAAAAUGACGGUACCUGAGUAAGAAGCCCCGGCUAACUACGUGCCAGCAGCCGCGGUAAUACGUAGGGGGCAAGCGUUAUCCGGAUUUACUGGGUGUAAAGGGAGCGUAGACGGCAGUGCAAGUCUGGAGUGAAAGGCGGGGGCUAAACCCCCGGACUGCUCUGGAAACUGUACGGCUGGAGUGCAGGAGAGGUAAGUGGAAUUCCUAGUGUAGCGGUGAAAUGCGGAGAUAUUAGGAGGAACACCAGUGGCGAAGGCGGCUUACUGGACUGUAACUGACGUUGAGGCUCGAAAGCGUGGGGAGCAAACAGGAUUAGAUACCCCUGUAGUC